ACUAGACUUUUAAGAGUAGAAAAAACAAGAUAUAGAGAACACAAUGCAAUGUGAAUAUGGUCAAAAUGAGUUUCACGAGCCAUUGAAGAGAUAUGACCAAGAAAUAAGUCCUUAGCUGAUAGUAGCUAUUGAUUUUGCAAGAUCUUCAGUAUCAAAAACAUCAACAUCCACUUUGUAACAACCCUAAUUUGUAAAUUCCUUUCGUUUGGUUUUAAUCAGUUUUUAUUCUGUUACUGCAGGAUAUUGCUUCAUCUUUGUGCCCUAAUUGCUAUGAAAUUUGCAUUUCAUAAUUGAAAGAUUCAGACCAUCAAAUGAGGAAUAGAACAAUGAAGGCGUUGAUUGCUUUGGAAGUGUUGAAUUUAUCAGUAUUACUUUGCAACGAAGAGUUCAUCCACAAAUUAAACAAGGAUUGGAGAGAUGAGGAUACACCUACUGAUGUCCUUUCGAUGUCUCAAAAUAUACCUGAACUUGAGCUUCAAAUUUUAAUGCUGGGAGACAUUGUGAUUUUGGUGGAGCCAGCAACAAGGCAUGUAGAAGAAAGGAGAUGUAGUUCACUGGACGAAAUAAACAUCUUACUGGGUACUAGAGAAGAUCAUUGUUUAACAAAAUGAUGAAGGAUGCCACCUAAAGUUAAGUAUAUUUGGCAGCUACAUUUUUUCCUCUUACUGUAUCGGAUAUUUUUUCAAGUGCCAGUACUUAUUUACUUGUGAGAAUUUUAGGUCGAAACAUAGAUUAUGAAAAAUCAAGAGCUUAAUUUUUUUUAUAAAUAAUUAGUAAGACGUACUCUAAAUGUAGGCCAGCAGUAUGAAAAGAAAAAAAAAUUGCUUUCUAACGUAUGUGGUGGAUUACUUUGCUUGAAUGAUGUAUAUAUAACAUCUUUUACGUAUUUAUUCUUUCCAAAUUUAUGUAGGACCAGAAAAUUCUAAUAUUGGUUGGAGCAAGACAACCAACUAGAUGCCAGAAGAGUGGCAACUCAGUUAGCGAUGAAAAUUAGCUAAAAAGAGAAGAUAUUUACUCUAGCCAUGGAUAUGACUGAGAGAAUAAUUCAAAGCAACGUGGAAAUCUGUCCAAAGGAGAACGCGGAGGAUUUGAGCAGAAAUUACAUAAGUGACCACCUACGGAGCCCACGAUGGUCCGUCGUGACUGUGAUGGUCUGUAGGUGGCACCGUAGUGAGAUGAAAAUGGCUGCUGAAGGAAGUUGGGGAAGUCUGACCAAGUGUGGGACUGGACCGUCAUAGCCACGACGGUCCGUCCUGCAUAUUCUUCGUGGUUUUUAGAGAGUAGUUCCAGUACCCAAUUUCAAGAAGUUUCUAAGUGUUGUGGAACGGAACCCCUCGACGGAUCGUCAUGCUUGCAACGGUCCGUCAUAUCUGUCCGUCGAGGGUAACAGAGAGUUGAUGAAGAAAGCAGUAGAAAAUUAUGCCAAGUAUGAAAUGACGGAGCCCACGACGGUCCAUCGUGUCCAUGACAGUCUGUCGCAGGGA